rnacentral:rRNA from 1 species
ACGCACGCUGGCGGCAUGCCUAACACAUGCAAGUCGCACGAGACCUUCGGGUCUAGUGGCGCACGGGUGCGUAACGCGUGGGAAUCUGCCCUUGGGUUCGGAAUAACAGUUGGAAACGACUGCUAAUACCGGAUGAUGACGUAAGUCCAAAGAUUUAUCGCCCAAGGAUGAGCCCGCGUAGGAUUAGCUAGUUGGUGAGGUAAAGGCUCACCAAGGCGACGAUCCUUAGCUGGUCUGAGAGGAUGAUCAGCCACACUGGGACUGAGACACGGCCCAGACUCCUACGGGAGGCAGCAGUGGGGAAUAUUGGACAAUGGGCGAAAGCCUGAUCCAGCAAUGCCGCGUGAGUGAUGAAGGCCUUAGGGUUGUAAAGCUCUUUUACCCGGGAUGAUAAUGACAGUACCGGGAGAAUAAGCUCCGGCUAACUCCGUG